GCCUCCUCAGAAGUCGUCGUGGACACGUUGUGUAUCUUUUCUGUUCUUCCGGGAUUCAUUCGUCGGGAAAGACGACCACAAAAUCCGAGGGCUCGGCCCGUCGACUGCUCCCGGAAGGCAGAAAGAGUCCUCGCACCGAGUUCCCCUAGUGCGACAGCAUGUAAAGUUGGAGGCCUUGGAAGUCCUGAUCCAUCCCUUCCGAGCAGGAGAUUGUGAACGUGGAGAGAGUCGAAGCUGCAACCUGCGUGGGAAGGACUGUUCCGAGUGCUCCCGGUUACUGAGACGGCAGGAAGAAGGGCUGAGAAAGGGUGGACUCGUACCCGGGUAAAAGCAUCAGUUAGCCCUGAUACCGGGGAGACUGCAUUAACAGAGACUUUUCAGGACAGGAGAAAAGCUCUUUCCGGAGAGAUGGAGAAGGAAUUAAUUAUACCUCUGCCUCAUCCUGUGAGACCAGAAGACCUGGAGUAAGCUGCGAUUCUCGGGAGACACCACGCUGAGAGUCACAGGUUCCUUCUCUGCCUGCCCCCAAGGCCCUGGGCACGUUGGGUUCACCCUGGGAAGGGCACGUUACUCAGGGCAGUUAUUUCCUCCCCGAGACGAACGUGGGACACGUUUUUCUGCUGCUUUCACC